CGGCCGUAACCCUGUCAUUUGUGAACAAACCUGUCACCUAACACGUGGAUAGUUGAUAGUAGCAGAAGAGGAAGGACGGCUAACUCUGUGC
rnacentral:rRNA from 1 species